rnacentral:misc_RNA from 1 species
GCGGGAAAGGAAUAGAUUAGGACAUGAACGACGGUUAUGUGUAGAUGAGUCAGCUUAAGACGAUGCCCAUGAGGCCAUCAACUAGCGAAGUUCCGAUUGGAUGACUGACAGGUAAGAUGCGUUCCAUAUUCAUAACAAUUAGUUUAAUUUAGCAGAAAUCUGCUCAGGUUUCCUUCCCUGUCUGCAGAUCCACUCACACACGCACACAAAGAGAGAGAUCUCUGUCACCUCAGCUCAAUCCUCACCUAACAAUCCUACAAUUAUUGUAGUUUUUAUUUAAAAUUUUUUAUGUGAGUGUGCGAGGAGAGAUCCAUUUUGAAAGAACGGACGGAAACAGAAUUAUCAAUUUCUUGUAAUUUCCAAUGGAUAAAGAACCCUCAAGCGACCUUUCCAGCUCUUCUCUGGUUUCUCUCUGAACACAGAGGAGGUGCUUGGAAUCUGAUGGGAAAAAUAGAUGAGAUAUGUGACAAGAAAGGG